UGAAAGUCUUCUCAGUUCGUGUUAUGUCUAAAUUCUCGACGAUACGGACAGGGUGAGCUGUGUUCUGGGGUUUCUAGUUUUGUUUGGGAAAGUUGGUGUUGGAAUUAAGCAGUUGUUGGUGAUCCGAUCUUUCUGUCUUUGUUUUCUUUCCAAAAAAUAUUUUAUAUAAAUAAAUUAAAAAGGAAUGGCUGGUCGAGGAGAUGAUGAGCAUGAUCCAAUUCUUGACGAAGCAAAAUCUAGUGAGAGAGAUAUGGCUCCUUCUGCUCUUCCUGGCACUUCAAUCCACAGAUCAGGCUCUAGGCCACAGCUUGAUCUAAGCAAAGCUGAGAUUCAGGGCAACUUCGAGGAGAGAGACCCCACCAUUCUCUUGCCUAAUCAGUCUGAUGAUAUCUCUCAUUUGGCUCUUGAUAUCGGAGGAUCGUUGAUAAAAUUGCUGUAUUUCUCAAGGCACGAGGACUACUACUCAAAUGAUGGUGAUAAGAGGAAGAAGACUAUCAAGGAGAGGUUGGGUUUAAGCAAUGGGAACUUGAGAAGCUAUCCUGUUCUUGGUGGGAGACUUCAUUUCGUUAAGUUUGAGACUCACAAGAUAAACGAGUGCUUGGACUUUAUCCACUCAAAGCAGCUUCAUCGCCGUGAUCCUUAUCCUUGGAGCUCGAAGACCCUGCCUUUGGGAACUGGUGUUAUCAAGGUCACAGGUGGUGGGGCUUAUAAAUUUGCGGACUUGUUCAAGGAACGGCUUGGCGUUAGUAUUGAAAAAGAAGAUGAAAUGCAUUGCCUUGUUUCUGGAGCUAAUUUUCUGCUCAAGGCUAUUCGACAUGAAGCCUACACGCACAUGGAGGCUGAGAAAGAAUUUAUACAGAUAGAUCCUAAUGAAUUGUAUCCUUAUCUUCUUGUUAACGUUGGAUCUGGUGUUAGCAUAAUCAAGGUUGAUGGGGAGGGAAAGUUUGAACGUGUAAGUGGGACUAAUGUUGGUGGUGGUACCUAUUGGGGCUUAGGAAGACUUCUAACUAAGUGCAAGAGUUUUGAUGAAUUGCUAGAACUCAGUCAAAAGGGAGACAACAGUACCAUUGACAUGCUUGUUGGUGAUAUUUAUGGUGGCAUGGAUUACUCCAAGUCCCUUAAACAGAUUGGCCUCUCUGCUUCAACUAUAGCUUCUAGUUUUGGCAAGGCCAUCUCUGAGAAUAAGGAACUAGAAGAUUACAGACCUGAAGACAUUUCCUUGUCUCUUCUGCGGAUGAUUUCAUACAAUAUUGGGCAGAUAUCUUAUUUAAACGCCCUUCGGUUUGGGUUGAAGAGAAUAUUUUUUGGAGGAUUUUUCAUAAGGGGACAUGCAUAUACCAUGGACACAAUCUCGUUUGCUGUUCAUUUCUGGUCGAAAGGUGAGAUGCAAGCUAUGUUCUUGAGGCAUGAAGGUUUUCUUGGUGCUAUGGGUGCGUUCAUGAGCUAUGAGAAGCAUGGAUUGGAUGAUUUAAUGUCACAUCAGUUGGUUGAGAGGUUCCCAAUGGGUGCACCAUACACUGGAGGAAAUAUCCAUGGACCACCACUUGGUGAUCUGAACGAGAAGAUUUCAUGGAUGGAGAAGUUUGUGCGUAGAGGAACUGAAAUAACUGCGCCUGUACCCAUGACUCCAUCUAAAACAACUGGACUUGGAGGCUUUGAUGUUCCUUCAUCCAGAGGUAGUGCUCUAAGAUCUGACGCCAGUGCUUUAAACGUUGGUGUUCUUCAUCUUGUGCCCACACUAGAAGUGUUCCCAUUGCUGGCUGACCCCAAAAUGUAUGAGCCUAACACCAUUGACCUAUCAGACCAAGGAGAACGAGAGUACUGGCUUAAAGUUUUGUCUGAGCAUUUGCCAGACCUGGUUGAUACGGCUGUUGCAAGUGAAGGAGGAACCGAGGAUGCCAAAAGGCGUGGUGAUGCUUUUGCUCGUGCCUUCUCUGCUCAUUUGGCAAGAUUAAUGGAAGAGCCAGCUGCAUAUGGAAAGCUGGGGCUAGCAAAUCUCUUGGAGCUUAGGGAAGAAUGCUUAAGGGAGUUCCAGUUUGUUGAUGCCUAUAGAAGCAUCAAGCUAAGGGAGAACGAAGCAUCACUUGCUGUAUUACCUGAUUUACUGGAGGAGCUUGACUCAAUGAGCGAGGAGGCAAGGUUGCUUACACUUAUAGAAGGUGUUUUAGCUGCAAACAUAUUUGACUGGGGAUCUCGAGCAUGUGUUGAUCUAUAUCACAAAGGAACCAUUAUUGAAAUAUACAGAAUGAGCCGCAACAAGAUGCAGAGACCGUGGAGGGUAGAUGAUUUUGAUGCUUUCAAAGAAAGGAUGCUUGGCUCUGGAGAUAAGCAGCCUCAUCGACAUAAAAGAGCGUUACUCUUUGUUGAUAACUCAGGAGCAGACGUCAUACUUGGGAUGCUUCCUCUUGCCAGAGAGUUUCUCCGCCGUGGGUCUGAAGUUGUUCUGGUGGCAAACUCUCUGCCUGCUCUCAACGAUGUGACCGCUAUGGAACUCCCUGAUAUAGUCGCUGGUGCUGCUAAGCACUGUGAUAUCUUGAGGAGAGCAGCAGAAAUGGGAGGCUUACUUGUGGAUGCGAUGGUGAAUCCAGGGGAUGAUGGGUCAAAGAAUGAUUCAACUUCAGCACCAUUGAUGGUUGUUGAAAAUGGAUGUGGAAGUCCUUGCAUUGACCUCAGACAAGUCAGCUCAGAGCUUGCAGCUGCUGCUAAAGAUGCUGAUCUUGUUGUCUUGGAAGGUAUGGGAAGAGCUCUUCACACCAACUUCAACGCUCAAUUCAAAUGUGAGGCGCUCAAGCUAGCAAUGGUUAAGAAUCAGAGAUUGGCUGAGAAGUUGAUAAAUGGAAACAUAUAUGACAGUGUUUGCAGAUAUGAGCCUCCCACUCUAUCUCAAAUAUGAUGUAUCAUACGCCAUAUAAGAGUGUGCUUGCCUCCGUAGUUUGUUGGCUCACUGUUGUAUACUACUUAUUAGUGUCCUACGCUAAUUUUUGAACAUUUUUCAUGUUAUAUACUUUGGACGCAACAUACAAUCCAGCCAUCAGUAGAACCGUUUGCUCCUCAUAAGUUUGCAAUUGUGGAACUCUCUAGCCUUUGAGUUUGAAGAAUGAGAAUGGAUUCAAGGAGAAGAUAUUAGGUGUGAGCAUCUCUCAAUGAACAAUAUACCUAACACAUUGAUAAUCCAAUUCAAUAAUAUCUGCUGAACGAGCAUUCAAGAUUCA